GUGGGGAAUCUUCCGCAAUGGACGAAAGUCUGACGGAGCAACGCCGCGUGAGUGAUGAAGGUCUUCGGAUUGUAAAGCUCUGUUAAUCGGGACGAAAGAGCCUAGUGUGAAUAAUGCUAGGAAGUGACGGUACCGGAAUAGAAAGCCACGGCUAACUACGUGCCAGCAGCCGCGGUAAUACGUAGGUGGCAAGCGUUGUCCGGAAUUAUUGGGCGUAAAGCACGCGCAGGCGGAUCUGCCAGUCUGUCUUAAAAGUUCGGGGCUUAACCCCGUGAUGGGAUGGAAACUACAGAUCUAGAGUAUCGGAGAGGAAAGUGGAAUUCCUAGUGUAGCGGUGAAAUGCGUAGAUAUUAGGAAGAACACCAGUGGCGAAGGCGACUUUCUGGACGAAAACUGACGCUGAGGCGCGAAAGCCAGGGGAGCGAACGGGAUUAGAAACCCCUGUAGUCC
rnacentral:rRNA from 1 species